UGUGUAUCAACUGUGGCAAAUGCUACAUGACCUGCAACGACUCAGGCUACCAGGCGAUUAAGUUUGACCCUGAGAGCCAUCUUCCUGUAAUCACGGACAGCUGCACCGGCUGCACUCUUUGCCUGAGCGUGUGCCCCAUCAUCGACUGCAUCAAAAUGGUUACCAGGACAACGGCGUACGUGCCCAAGAGGGGCCUGCCUGUUUAUCCCGUUUGCUAAAGCGCACCGUCGCUCCACCUGACCGGAGAGAAAGAAAACCAAGGAGCCACGUUUCAUUCAAAGCAUCGAUUCCACUUCUAAUUGCUGUGUGAAAAAUUACCUUUAUUAUGAAAACGAAUAAUUAGCCAGCAGAAAUAAUUGCCUUAUUCCCAAGCCAGUUAUGCUAGAAUAAUUGUGCUGGCAAAAAAAGAGUUGCAUUAUUUCAAAACAACACAGUGCAAUGUUAUUUUUUGUCAAAAGUGAGAGGGAGGAUUGAUUGAGAAAGAUGGUGAAGUGCUGUUGUUUUCUCUGGUAAAAAUGAAUAGCAAUAAAUAAAAUAAUAAAGCAAUUGACAGUAUUGAAGUCUCAUUUUCACAGUAUUAUUUUGAAACUCGGGAAAAUUAAUUAUGUGACUGGUAAGUGAUUAAUAAUAAGCAUAAUAAUUUAUAAAGCAGAUUUGCUUUGUUUAAUGUUUGUUAGUAAUUAAAUCGCAAGGUUUCCAAUGAUAAGCAAAUUAGUUCCAAAAACAUGGUUUUUAAAAAGUACAAGCCAUAAUUAAUUUGAAUAAAAUAUCACUAGACUUAUUGUGAGUUUGAACAGUUUCACUCGCAGAUUGUUUAGGCUUCUUGAAGAGCAGCUUUAGGUUUAGGCACAGACUGAACAAAUCGUUCUAAUGAUGUUUAGAACGCUUCCUCUAAUGUCCCAACUGAUUUGUUUUGCAAAACAAAGCAUUCAUUGGAGCUGAUGCAAACACGAGUCUGAGAGGUUUAUGCUGAGUCUCUGUUGUGUUGAUAUGAUCUUCCUAUAAUUGUUACAUCUGCGAACAAACAUCCGAUUGGGAGCAGUGGACAAGACGGUAGACGGAGUUAAUUAAAAUGCUAUCGUUUUCAUCUCCGAGAUG